rnacentral:rRNA from 1 species
GACGAACGCUGGCGGCGUGCUUAACACAUGCAAGUCGAGCGGUAAGGCCCUUUCGGGGGUACACGAGCGGCGAACGGGUGAGUAACACGUGGGUGACCUGCCCUCAGCUCUGGGAUAAGCCUGGGAAACUGGGUCUAAUACUGGAUAUGACUCCACGGUGCAUGUCGUGGGGUGGAAAGCCUUGUGCGGCUGAGGAUGGGCCCGCGGCCUAUCAGCUUGUUGGUGGGGUGANGGCCUACCAAGGCGACGACGGGUAGCCGGCCUGAGAGGGCGACCGGCCACACUGGGACUGAGACACGGCCCAGACUCCUACGGGAGGCAGCAGUGGGGAAUUGUUCGCAAUGGGCGCAAGCCUGACGACGCAACGCCGCGUGAAGGAUGAAGGUCUUCGGAUUGUAAACUUCUGUUGAUCGGGACGAACAGCCAAGGGAUCAAUACCCCUUUGGCCUGACGGUACCGAUUGAGGAA